rnacentral:lncRNA from 10 species
GUCUCGUCAAAGAGCAGCGGCUCGGGAGCUAGCCCCCAUGAUUGAUAAAGACAAGGAAGCCUUAAUGGAAGAGAUCCUCAAGCUAAAGUCCCUGCUGAGCACCAAACGGGAGCAGAUCGCCACAUUGAGGGCGGUGUUGAAAGCCAACAAGCAGGCACAGUGCCUUCUGAUGAAGUCAGUAAAUGCUUAUGAAGCACCGUCCAUCUAGCACUGUGCUAGAUGCUGAAGAUUCAAAGAAGACUAACACAUGGUCCCUGCCUUCCAGAAGACUCAGCCUCCUGGGGAUGUCAGGAUAGAAACACAAUUACAGUUCAACGUUACACAUGCUGUAAUCCAAGUUAUGAGAACAAUGCAGAGGAAGCAACUAAGGUUUCCUAGAGGAGCGGAAAAGACUUCACAGAAGCAAUUAUACCUUAGUUUGUUAUUAAAGGAUAAGAAGUUGUUUUCCAGAGGAGGAGGAAGUAAUUCCAGACAGAACAGUAGGUAGAGAGGCUUUGGAGUGACAAAAUAGAAUAAUAUAUUCAGGGAAUGCUCACAAAGGCCUAUGUGGCUGGAAAUAAGACUUUUUUUAUUUAGAAAGUCAACUUUGGAAUGUGUGGAGAAAGUGGUGAAAGCAGAAAUCAGCAAAUCCAGUGAGUUAUGGAUACUUAAAAUUACUUAAUUCUGGAAAAACUUUGCACAGUCAAUGGACAAACAAAUCUACAAACAAAACUGAGGCUUUGGGGUAUUUGUCACAAACAAUAAAUGAUUUUGUAUUUCUGUUUCA